GGGCCCGUAGCUCAGCCAGGUGGAGCGCCCGGCUCAUAACCGGGCGGUCCCGGGUUCAAAUCCCGGCGGGCCCACCA
rnacentral:tRNA from 1 species